rnacentral:rRNA from 1 species
ACGCCGCGUGAGGGAGAGGCCUCUGGGUUGUAAACCUCUUUUCUCAAGGAAGAAGAUCUCACGGUACUUGAUGAAUAAGCCACGGCUAAUUCCGUGCCCGCCGCCGCGGUAAUACGGGAGCGGCAAGCGUUAUCCGGAAUUAUUGGGCGUAAAGCGUCCGCAGGCGGCCCUUCAAGUCUGCUGUUAAAAAGUGGAGCUUAACUCCAUCAUGGCAGUGGAAACUGUUGGGCUUGAGUGGGGUAGGGGGAGAGGGAAUUCCCGGUGUAGCGGUGAAAUGCGUAGAUAUCGGGAAGAACACCGGGGGCGAAGGCGCUCUGCUGGGCCAU